UACGUAGGUGGCGAGCGUUGUCCGGAUUUAUUGGGCGUAAAGCGCGCGCAGGCGGUCGCGUAAGUCUGCUGUGAAAUCUCCCUGGCUCAACCGGGAGGGGGCGGCGGAGACUGCGGGACUGGAGGGACCUAGAGGCCGGUGGAAUUCCCGGUGUAGUGGUGAAAUGCGUAGAGAUCGGGAGGAACACCCAUGGCGAAGGCAGCUCUCUGGUCGACAUCUGACGCUGAGACGCGAAAGCGUGGGGAGCGAACGGG
rnacentral:rRNA from 1 species